rnacentral:rRNA from 1 species
UUGGAGGGCAAGUCUGGUGCCAGCAGCCGCGGUAAUUCCAGCUCCAAUAGCGUAUAUUAAAGUUGUUGCAGUUAAAAAGCUCGUAGUUGAAUUUCGGGGUUAGUAGGCUGGCCAUGCCACCGGUAUGUACUGGUCUUUCUGAUUCCUCCUUCCUGAUGAACUGUAAUGCCAUUAAUUUGGUGUUGCAGGGAAUCUGGACUGUUACUUUGAAAAAAUUAGAGUGUUUAAAGCAGGCUAACGCUUGAAUACAUUAGCAUGGAAUAAUGAAAUAGGAAGUUCGAUCCUAUUUUGUUGGUUUCUAGGAUUGACGUAAUGAUUAAUAGGGAUAGUUGGGGGCAUUAGUAUUCAAUUGUCAGAGGUGAAAUUCUUGGAUUUAUUGAAGACUAACUACUGCGAAAGCAUUUGCCAAGGAUGUUUUCAUUAAUCAAGAACGAAAGUUAGGGGAUCGAAGACGAUCAGAUACCGUCGUAGUCUUAACCAUAAACUAUGCCGACUAGGGAUCGGAUGAUGUUAAUUUUUUAAUGACUCAUUCGGCGCCUUACGGGAAAC